rnacentral:rRNA from 1 species
UACGUAGGGUGCAAGCGUUGUCCGGAAUUAUUGGGCGUAAAGAGCUCGUAGGCGGUCUGUCGCGUCGGAUGUGAAAAUCCAGGGCUUAACCCUGGGCCUGCAUUCGAUACGGGCAGACUAGAGUUCGGUAGGGGAGACUGGAAUUCCUGGUGUAGCGGUGAAAUGCGCAGAUAUCAGGAAGAACACCAAUGGCGAAAGCAGCUUUCUGGGACGGUACUGACGCUGAGACGCGAAAGCGUGGGGAGCGAACAGG